rnacentral:rRNA from 1 species
CCUACGGGAGGCAGCAGUGAGGAAUAUUGGUCAAUGGGCGGGAGCCUGAACCAGCCAAGCCGCGUGAGGGAAGAAGGUACAGCGUAUCGUAAACCUCUUUUGUCAGGGAACAAAGGCGGGGACUAGUCCCCGGAUGAGGGUACCUGAAGAAAAAGCAUCGGCUAACUCCGUGCCAGCAGCCUCGGUAAUACGGAGGAUGCGAGCGUUAUCCGGAUUUAUUGGGUUUAAAGGGUGCGCAGGCGGCAGGUUAAGUCAGCGGUAAAAGCCCGGGGCUCAACCCCGGCGAGCCGUUGAAACUGGGGGGCUUGAGUUGGAGAGAAGUACGCGGAAUGCGCGGUGUAGCGGUGAAAUGCUUAGAUAUCGCGCAGAACCCCGAUUGCGAAGGCAGCGUACCGGCUCCACACUGACGCUGAGGCACGAAAGCGUGGGUAUCGAACAGGAUUAGAUACCCGUGUAGUC